rnacentral:sRNA from 1 species
CUUGCGCCGCGACUUACCUCCCCCUCUCCGUAACUUUUUUGUUGUUGUCCACCUCCCCUCUCCUCCUCUGUGUAUCUAUCUGCUUGUGGCGAUGGAUCUAGCUGCGGAAGAUACGAUCACAUGGUUAGUUCAUUUUGCACCCUUUGUCAAAUUUGAUGGUUAAUUGAGCCAGGUGUUCUUGACUGUUGACUGCUUAGUCAAGCGGAACAUAUACAAACAGAUGUAAAUAAUGCUAACUGGAUAGUUGACAAGUGAACCAGCCCAAACAGAUAGUUACCUUGAACUAAUAGAACCUUGUUUCCAUUUGGGAGGACUUUUUUUUAAAUUGACGUUUUGUUCAUUAUUUAAAGGAGUUCUCUGGAUGCUUUACUUUUCAAUAGAGGGAAGUUCAAUAGAAGUCAAAUUAUCAGAGCUUUACUAUGGUACCUAGUGUACAGUACAACGAUCAAGUGACUUCUUAAUUUCUUGUAUCCACUAGAAGCUGUUGGACAGAAAGCCAACAACUAUCUUGAAUCUUACAGUUUAGAAACAUGUAUAUAGAUAAAUGAACAACUGUAUCUGAAGAAAACAGCAACAAAAAAUUAAUUAGAACACAGCAAUCAAAUGUGUAAUUUCUUGAUGUUUGAGGAAAAUAAUAAUUGCAAUACAAAGAUAGGAGCAUCUAGUUUGACCUGGAAUGGAACAUGGACAUCAAAUUGGAGUGCGUCUUUCCACCCAGACAAAUGUCAGUACUUACUUUCUCCUUCAUCCACCAGCUAUACAUCUCAACA